UUUUGUAUGCUAAAACAGGCGCU
rnacentral:miRNA from 1 species